rnacentral:rRNA from 1 species
UACAGAGGGGGCAAGCGUUGUUCGGAAUUACUGGGCGUAAAGGGCGCGUAGGCGGCCUGCUAAGUCGAACGUGAAAUCCCUCGGCUUAACCGGGGAACUGCGUCUGAUACUGGAUGGCUUGAGUUUGGGAGAGGGAUGCGGAAUUCCAGGUGUAGCGGUGAAAUGCGUAGAUAUCUGGAGGAACACCGGUGGCGAAGGCGGCAUCCUGGACCAACACUGACGCUGAGUGAGCGAAAGCCAGGGGAGCAAACGGG